rnacentral:rRNA from 1 species
CCACACCAAAAACAACUUUCCACGUGAACUGUCUUACGAGAUUCGCGCCGUGACGCGUGUUGACGCUGUGUGUGUCUGUGUCUUCUUUCGAGAGGAUAUUGUGAUGCAAACAGUGUUGACCGUGUGGGUCGGCUGAUCGAAGGUCGCUUUGUGCAUUAUUGUAUGGAGCGGCUGACUUAUUCUUUCAAACCCAUUACACAAUACUACUGAUUCAUACUGUGAGGACGAAAGUCUUUGCUUUUACUAGAUAACAACUUUCAGCAGUGGAUGUCUAGGCUCGCACAUCGAUGAAGAACGCUGCGAACUGCGAUACGUAAUGCGAAUUGCAGAAUUCAGUGAGUCAUCGAAAUUUUGAACGCAUAUUGCACUUUCGGGUUAUGCCUGGAAGUAUGUCUGUAUCAGUGUCCGUAAAUCAACCUUGCCUCUCUUUGUCGGUGUAGUCCGGCUUGGAGUGUGCAGAUGUGAAGUGUCUCGCGCUACGUCAGUUUGAUGCUAUGCAAUAAGACUAGGCGCGCGAGUCCUUUGAAAACGACACGAUCUUUCUAUUGCUUUCUGUGGAGCGCGACAAUUGAACGCGGCGGUCUUGGGAUCGCCUGCAGUCGAUAGCGACUUUGGCAGAGACAUAUGGAGGAUACCUCAUUUCGCGGUACGUUAGGCUUCGGCUCGACAAUGUUGCGUAGUGUGUGUGUUUUUCCGUCUUUGCUUUGAGGUGUACUGUUGAUUGUGGGCUUGAACCUGGGUUCUGUGUGUUAGUAGAGUGUGGCUGUCUCUGUGGUUUGCGUCUGCGUGCUAUUUCGGUCGCACGUAGGUAGGAGGGUUCCAUUUGGGAAACAUUGUACUGCGCACUGGAAAGUGUGUGUGUAUCUCACUUGGACCUGAUAUCAGACAAGACUACCCGCU